GGGGUUUGUCUCGUUCAGGUCCUGCUGGUUGGUCCUCGUUUUCCCGGUGGCCUCGUUGGUGUUCGUUUUCCCAGUGCUCGUGUUUCUGGCUCGUUUUCCUCGUUGGUGUUUUCCUGCUUUUUCCCUGGUACCAGCAAGCGUGUCUCCCUUGCCCUGUUCUGGGCCUGCGCUUUGCGCAGGCGCAGAACAGGGCAGGGAGGCACAGACACACGCUUGGUGUCCGUCCACGGACGGACACCAAGCAUUUUAUUAGAGAGGAUAGUAUUGAAAGCCGUCAAGAGAUCCAAAAAGUCCAACAGUCACACUCCCUCUGUCAACUCCCAAUUGGAGAUCAUCCAUCAGGGCGACCAAGGCAGUCUCCACCCCAUAGCCCGCCCAAAAGCCAGAUUGAAAUGGGUUUAUGUAAUCAGUUUCCUCCAAGACUGCCUAAAGCUGGGAGGCCACCCCUAUCUCAAUGACCUUGCCAGCAACAGAAGGCUUGAGACAGGCCUGUAAGUUGCUCAACUCUGAGGGAUUGAACACAGGCUUCUUCAGAAGUGGUCUAAUAAUUGCCUCGUUAAGGCAAGGAGGCAUCCUGCCCAACCUCAGAGAAACAUUUAUGAUCUCUACUAGGCCUUCUACAACACCCUCCCUGCCUGACAGUAUAAGCCAACUAGGGCAAGGGUAAAGAGAACAGGCGGUAGGCCGCACCAUUCCAAGCAGCGUGUCCACAUCCUUAUGAGUCACAAACUGGAACUGAUCCAGCCUAGCCAAACAAGAGGAGCUGCUGGACACCUCCUCCUUUAAUUACAAGUUAAAUGCCAACUUUAAAAAUUCCUUUCCACAGACAUCGGACUACAGAAUUCCCUUCCUCUAUUGGGGAGAUAUACCUAUAUAUCUCCGGGACAGGUGUAUAUCCCCCCUUUCUUCCCCAAGACAUAACAACAAGAAGAGGUUGCAGUGGCUUGGCAGCUGUUUUACUAUUCCCCCCACUUACUUCAGCUAGUCAGUGGCAGUGCAAGGAGGAAUUCAGCCUGCAUGGUACCAUGGAAUGUUGCGAUGAAGUGGGAAGAGAAGAGUUGCCCAUGGAAAUCAAAGCUUUGGGAGAGAACAGGAGCUGUUUGGGACAUGUAAAAAGAUGGCUUCAAGCUGCCCUGAAUCUGGGAUUGUGAUGGAGAGAGAAACUGCUCCCAUGUGGGAGCUGGAAUUGUAUGUUUAUCCACUGGAGGAUUGAAUGGCAGACGUGUCCAUGUGGUUUGGAUGGCUGGGGGCUUAUGGAAGAAAAUUUGAGAGGAAGACAAUGGACAUUCAGACGGGAGGAAAAAUCAGCCCCAAAUGAUUCAACCAGUGGCAUAGCUAUAUUGUUAUAACAAUGAUGUAAAAUUAUACUGUGCAAGAGCAUAAAUAUUUCAUCAGUUUAUCAUGCUUAUACAGUUCUCAGCUACUAUUCAAAGGUUUUCUUUAUUUGGAAAUAAUAAGCAAAGUUUAGUUCAAACAUUAGAUACAUAUUUGUUUCCCUCCCCACCAUCACAAAAGGCUGUAGAUUUGUUCAACUGAUAGAAGAGCUCCUGGAAUCGUAGUCCACAUUGUACAUGUAUUAAUUCAUUUCUUACAGUGAAUGCAGCCCACUCUGCUGCUGAUAAUUUUCAUAAAACUGCUGUAGAGAAUCUGGAAUUCGAGGGGUUAUGAUAGACAAGGCUUGCUGAAAAUGUCGCCUCAUAAUGCAUGUGGCCUGUAUAUCUUCCUGAAGGGCCAGAAGGGCAGCUUCUCUACAAACUGCAGUAAUCUAAAAAGAAAAGAAAAAGAAAAAGAAAUUCAAUAUUUUAAAGUAACGAUAGAAUGUGUACAAUUGGAACGCUUUAGGUCAAUGUUUGUAGAUAGUGUAGUCACAGUAUGUAACAGAAGUCAAAUUAUCUCAGUUUUCUUGAGCAUCAGUGGAAACAGCUGUAAAAAUGGAACACCAGCUCAAACUGCAGCAAAAUUCAUCCACACAUGUGGCACUUUUGAAUUCUGGUGUUUGAUAUUGGAACACCAUAUACAGUCUUCCUAUAUAAUUAAAACUCUUUAUGGCAGAUGUUCACUGAAGAAACCUACCUACCGAUGGCAGAUAAUCCAGUAGCUGUUCCAGGAACAAGAGAGAGAUGAUCAAAUCCUCUUGGUGGUUUUCCUUUACUUUUUUUGUUUUUUAAAGUAAAAGCAAAUAAUUCAAAGACAAAGCAGGAAGAAAGAAAUGUGCAGAAAGAGAAGAGGGCUAAUAUCUCAAAGUCUGAGAUAUGUGUUUAACUCUCUGGACUUCAGACAGCGGAAACAACCUCAUGAAGACACAUUAUGGUGGUGAAAAGAGCUUGAUGAAUGAACAGGGAAACUACGAUUUUCAGUAUGGCGGAGGCACAGCUGCCAUCAAGCGGUGGAGGUGCAUCAUUAUGGAAUACAAGUGGAAGAGGAAGAGACAAUCAGGCCCUGUCCCUGCAAGAUCUUCAGCUCUUUGGCAGGAAAACCAGUUCAGCCAACUGCACUCCCUCCAGGCCAAGGCCAGUAUAUUUUGUGUGUGCAUGUGUGAGAGGUACAUGUGCAUGUGUGAAAUGGAAUAUUGUGUGUGGCUCAGUCUAGAUCUAGCCAAGAAGGCUAGAAGGUGUUUGUGUUUCAUGCAUGAUAAAUUCCUUUACCAUAUAUUGGUUGGCAGAAUGUCAUCUGAGUCACUAGUGAUUACUCUGCAUGUGUUUUUGAGGUCCCCACCACCUGUGCAUUCAGUGAUUGUCCUUGAGACUAUUCAGUCACAUUAUGCAUCAAUAAAGGUUGUUUUCUACACAAUGCUUGCUUAAUUCCUUAACAAUAUGCUGUGCAUAUGUGUAUUAUACAUGUGACUUGGCAUGUAAUUUGCAGCUGGGCUCGACUGCUUGAGCUAUCUAACUGCUUGUGCACUUUUAGUUCUGAAUUUCUGCUUGUGACACAGUAGUAGCCUGGAUGGUUAGUUGUUCUGUGCAGACUUGAUAUUAUGUAUGGAUGUUUUGAUUGGUAGCAGGGGAUUUGGUAAUCACAUGCAGUACAGUAGCUGUACACCUUAGGUGAACUGAACAUUUUCUUUGGGCUCUACCCUAUGAUCAUAGAGUUCCAUCCUUUGGUAAGAUGCUUAUUUCUGCUGCUGGGCCCCCUUUAGGUACCAGAAUUAUUUAUUCUAUAAUGAAUAAUAUGUUGGCAAUAUGUAGGGUUAUGAACUCUUGAAAUAAAGGGUCAGUCUUCCUCCGAAUGGAGAUAUUUGCCUUAGAUUACUAGAUGUAAACAUUAUAAAAUAUUGAUUUAUUAGCAAUCUUCUUUUUGAGCCUCUGUGGCAUAUUUGGCCAUCCUUCACAGCUUCUUUGCAACACCUUGAACUGGAAACACUUGAGCCUUAUUCAGACACAGUGUUUUACAUGUGCACAGAUGUCUGUACAGGUGUAUAUUUUUGUAUGAAUGGCUGUACAUGUGUUAACUUCAAAAGUGAAUCUGGGUACAUGGCCCCUCAAAUGCAGGCUACAGGUAGGAAGUGCACAUGCAUUGAACAUGAUGUAUGAAUAACUGUAUGUGCGUACUGAUUUGUACAUGUGUAUACUGUACACAGAUUGUACAUUCAUUGGACAUAGCACGCGACCAGGAUGUUGUAGUCUACCAUUUCAACAGGAUCAGCAAACCCAAGCAAAACCACCAUGAGACCAUGAGAUAAAAGUAUAUCUAUUCUUUUAGAAUAGUUUUUAUUUUUCAGAACUAAUGUUUUAGACAAUCAGUGGGGAAAAAUGUACUGUUUACUUUAGUGAGACACAGAGAAUACCCUAGUUGUUUUGACUUCAAAUUCCUCUGAUUAGUCACUGGUAAAAGAAAGAAUAUACUGGGUAUGUAUUCUUGGGUUAGAAUGCAGACCAAUAUAUUAAUAUCCAGCAAGCAUUCUAGCAGGAAAAAACUAAAACAAAAAUAAAAAUGGUGUCAAUCAGCUGUAGCUUCCUGGAUAAACACUCUUAGGAUAAACUAUUUUACCCUAGAAACCACAGAGGCUGAUAACCUGAGAAUUCAUCUGCCAGGAUGAAUCAGAUGGGAUGAAUGGCUGAUUCAGCUUGCUUGUGUCAGGUCCAUUGUGGUUUGAAGCACUAACUUUCUUCCAAAGGGCUGAAAGUCCUUUUCAGCUUUUUUGUUUUUGAAGUGCUCCAAACAAGCUUUAAAGAACCUUGUUGGGGGUGGGGGUCGGUUGGUGGAGGGGAGAAGAAAUGAGCUUCUGUGUUAAAGUCUUAGGUAUUUUCAAGAAAGUGGCUUACUUAAAAAUGCAUCGUCUGCCGGGAACACCUGUGAACUAUUGAGUUUAAUUGGGCUGCAGCUGGUGCCGAUUGUGUGUGAAGCAACUGGCAGUCUGAUAGGCUGGUCUUUUACAUUGUGUUUCCUUUCCCUUUCCCUUUCUUUCAAGUGUGCUUCCCCCCUGUAGAUGGUUACAAGGGGCUGUGUGAGAAAGGGAUUAGGAACCUGAAGCAGACUGGCAUCCUGUGGUGGUUUGUGAAUAGCGCAAAUUGUGGAGCUUCCCGGAUGAAGGCUACCUGCAAGAGUACAUGCGAGCUGGCUGUGUGUGUGCCUCCUAGGCACCUCUAAGAGGAGGAUUAGAGAGCAGGAACACUGGCUUUCCCACUCAGCAUGCACAGCAGUGAAAAGGCUUCAAAAUUAGGCCUUUAAAAAAUUAUGAAAAUCCCAAGGAUCACAUCUAAAAGGUUAAUUUAUAAAGGCUGCCAGCUACCUCUUGCCAGCUUCUCCUACUUAUUACCACAUUUCUGCUAAGCUAUGAACUCAUACUGUGCUGCCUGGAGCAAGUUUCUCUCUCUUGCUCUCUUAUCCUCAGUUCUCCAUCUGUGAAGUGGGAAGAAGAGAUCUACAUCACAGAUUUGUAUGAUGGGCACAAGCAUCAUGUACCUUAUAAACUGUAAGACUCCAAGAAUACAAUUUUAUAUGAAACAGUGGGGAGAUACUGAUGUCAAAAGCCCUACUGGUUGAAGAGAGAAAAGAAGACUGGCCCAUGUGUUCCAUAGCAUUAGGAGGGCAGAGCAAGAGCUGUACCCUCACGCAGUCCUCAGGACAUAUUUCUGGAAGCACUUUUGGAGGGAAGGGAGAGCAGUGAAAACCGCUUCCCUUCCCCCUCUGUCAAACCUUUGGCUGAGCUCCACAGCAACAUCUCCACAAGGUCCUAGCUCUUGCUCCACUUUCCUAAUGCUACAGAAUGUGGGCUAUUACAUGGGGCACGGCAGGAAUGAGUGUACUCCAAAAUUCCAAGAAUUUCAUCCGAAGCAUUAAAUACUUAAAAUAUGGAAAUUCUCAACAAAAUAGGAACAACUUGCACCCCAGAGCCACAACUGAAGGGGGAAUGUGACUUGGGUAACAUUGUCAUAUGAAUGUAAGUUUAAAAGUCAAAUAUGUUUACAAUCUUUAAAAACAUCACAAGUAUUUUAUUAAAAUUAGGUUUGCUUUUGCCUA